GCGCGCGCAUGCGGGUUUCGUGACGGGCUUCGAGAAAUCUGGCCAGACCCUCGGGCAGAUUGCGUUCCUUGAUGAUCCGGUCGAGCGAACCGCGCGCCCAUUCGAGAAUCUCCCGUCGCGCUGCGAUCUCGGCUUCCCGUUCCCGAAUGGCCUCAAGACGUCCGUGAUCGGAGAGGCCAAGGAGCCUGACCAGCAUCGGAAGGGUCAGUCCGAUGCCGAUCAACGUGAAGAUGAUGACGCCGAAGGUUAUGAGCAGGAUGAGAUCGCGGUGCGGGAAGUCCUGUCCGUUCGGCAGCGUCAGCGGCAACGCGAGCGCGACGGCAAGAGAUACAACGCCGCGAANCGCCACGAAUGCCGGUGAAGCCGAUAACGACGAUGUAUCGCCAUGGCGGUUUGGCAUCCAGCGCGGCGACUCUCUUGCUCAGGAGACGCGGCAGGUACGUGCCGGGAAAAACCCACAGGAAGCGUGCGAUGACGACGAUUGCCGAGACAAUCACAAUAGCCGUCAGGAUCUCGGACACCGGAAGCGCUUUCGAUUUCUCCAUCAAAAGCCGCAACUGGAAGCCGAUCAUCAGGAACAGCACGCCCUCGAUCAGCCAGAUCGUGAAGUCCCAGAAAAAGAUGCCCUGCAAUCGGGUUUUCGAUGAAAUCAGCAGCGGUCCAUUCCAGCUUACAUAGAGGCCGGUCACGACGGU
rnacentral:misc_RNA from 1 species